AACGCACAUUGCGCCUCUUGGUAUUCCGAGGGGCAUGUCUGUUUGAGCGUCAGUACACACCUCCUCUCGUGACUUUGCAGUCGCGACCGGGUCUUGGGACGGGAGGGGUCGCCCCUCGCGGGCAUCGGCCCCCUCCUUCCCUAAUGUGGCACGCUUGCGGGCCCACGGCCAGAUGUCAACGUAGUAAAUCUUUCCUCGUGGACAGCUGACGAUGGGCCUCGCCUGAACCGAACUAUUCUAUGGUUUGACCUCAGAUCAGAUAAGGAUACCCGCUGAACUUAA
rnacentral:misc_RNA from 3 species